GAUGAACGCUGGCGGCGUGCCUAAUACAUGCAAGUCGAGCGAACGGACGAGAAGCUUGCUUCUCUGAUGUUAGCGGCGGACGGGUGAGUAACACGUGGAUAACCUACCUAUAAGACUGGGAUAACUUCGGGAAACCGGAGCUAAUACCGGAUAAUAUUUUGAACCGCAUGGUUCAAAAGUGAAAGACGGUCUUGCUGUCACUUAUAGAUGGAUCCGCGCUGCAUUAGCUAGUUGGUAAGGUAACGGCUUACCAAGGCAACGAUGCAUAGCCGACCUGAGAGGGUGAUCGGCCACACUGGAACUGAGACACGGUCCAGACUCCUACGGGAGGCAGCAGUAGGGAAUCUUCCGCAAUGGGCGAAAGCCUGACGGAGCAACGCCGCGUGAGUGAUGAAGGUCUUCGGAUCGUAAAACUCUGUUAUUAGGGAAGAACAUAUGUGUAAGUAACUGUGCACAUCUUGACGGUACCUAAUCAGAAAGCCACGGCUAACUACGUGCCAGCAGCCGCGGUAAUACGUAGGUGGCAAGCGUUAUCCGGAAUUAUUGGGCGUAAAGCGCGCGUAGGCGGUUUUUUAAGUCUGAUGUGAAAGCCCACGGCUCAACCGUGGAGGGUCAUUGGAAACUGGAAAACUUGAGUGCAGAAGAGGAAAGUGGAAUUCCAUGUGUAGCGGUGAAAUGCGCAGAGAUAUGGAGGGACACCAGUGGCGAAGGCGACUUUCUGGUCUGUAACUGACGCUGAUGUGCGAAAGCGUGGGGAUCAAACAGGAUUAGAUACCCUGGUAGUCCACGCCGUAAACGAUGAGUGCUAAGUGUUAGGGGGUUUCCGCCCCUUAGUGCUGCAGCUAACGCAUUAAGCACUCCGCCUGGGGAGUACGACCGCAAGGUUGAAACUCAAAGGAAUUGACGGGGACCCGCACAAGCGGUGGAGCAUGUGGUUUAAUUCGAAGCAACGCGAAGAACCUUACCAAAUCUUGACAUCCUUUGACAACUCUAGAGAUAGAGCCUUCCCCUUCGGGGGGGCAAAGUGACAGGUGGUGCAUGGUUGUCGUCAGCUCGUGUCGUGAGAUGUUGGGUUAAGUCCCGCAACGAGCGCAACCCUUAAGCUUAGUUGCCAUCAUUAAGUUGGGCACUCUAAGUUGACUGCCGGUGACAAACCGGAGGAAGGUGGGGAUGACGUCAAAUCAUCAUGCCCCUUAUGAUUUGGGCUACACACGUGCUACAAUGGACAAUACAAAGGGCAGCGAAACCGCGAGGUCAAGCAAAUCCCAUAAAGUUGUUCUCAGUUCGGAUUGUAGUCUGCAACUCGACUACAUGAAGCUGGAAUCGCUAGUAAUCGUAGAUCAGCAUGCUACGGUGAAUACGUUCCCGGGUCU
rnacentral:rRNA from 1 species